rnacentral:rRNA from 1 species
GACGAACGCUGGCGGCGUGCUUAACACAUGCAAGUCGAGCGGUAAGGCCCUUCGGGGUACACGAGCGGCGAACGGGUGAGUAACACGUGAGCAAUCUGCCCUCCACAUCGGGAUAACCCCCGGAAACGGGAGCUAAUACCGGAUACGACCACUUCAGGCAUCUGAUGGUGGUGGAAAGUUCCGGCGGUGGAGGAUGAGCUCGCGGCCUAUCAGCUUGUUGGUGGGGUAACGGCCCACCAAGGCUUCGACGGGUAGCCGGCCUGAGAGGGUGACCGGCCACACUGGGACUGAGACACGGCCCAGACUCCUACGGGAGGCAGCAGUAGGGAAUAUUGCGCAAUGGGCGAAAGCCUGACGCAGCGACGCCGCGUGCGGGACGAAGGCCCUCGGGUUGUAAACCGCUUUCAGCAGGGACGAAGCGAAAGUGACGGUACCUGCAGAAGAAGGUCCGGCCAACUACGUGCCAGCAGCCGCAGUAAAAC